UUAGACAAAAAAAUUCAUAAUUUUUGAAAAGUCAGAAGUAUUUUUAAACAAUUAAAAAUAUGCACAAAAACAAUUAAUUCAUGAAAAAUAUCAAAAUUAAUCUAAAAAAUAAUUUUAAUUCAGAAAAUGAAAGAGAAAAAUAUUUAAAGAUUUUUGGUGAAAGUCCCAUAUUUUUGGAUUAUAAAUGAAAUUAAUAUGAAUUAAUUAAAAUAAAGCGAUUAAACAUAAAAAU
rnacentral:lncRNA from 1 species